UACGUAGGGGGCAAGCGUUGUCCGGAUUUACUGGGCGUAAAGCGUGCGCAGGCGGUUUUGUAAGCCAGAUGUGAAAUCCCCGGGCUUAACCUGGGAAUGGCAUUUGGGACUGCAAGGCUGGAGUGCGGCAGAGGAGACUGGAAUUCCUGGUGUAGCAGUGAAAUGCGUAGAUAUCAGGAGGAACACCGAUGGCGAAGGCAGGUCUCUGGGCUGACACUGACGCUCAUGCACGAAAGCGUGGGGAGCAAACAGG
rnacentral:rRNA from 1 species